rnacentral:rRNA from 1 species
UGAGAAUCCCACAGGCCGUAAACCCAAGGUUUCCAGGGGAAGGUUCGUCCGCCCUGGGUUAGUCGGGACCUAAGCUGAGGCCGAAAGGCGUAGGUGAUGGACAACAGGUUGAUAUUCCUGUACUACCGAUAACCGUUUGAGAGAUGGGAUGACACAGUAGGAUAAGCUAAGCACACUGUUGGUUAUGUGUGCCCAAGCAUUGAGGCAGUCAGCGUAGGUAAAUCCGCUUUGAUAAUGCUGGGAUGUGAUGGGGAGCGAAAUUUAGUAGCGAAGUAGCUGAUUUCACACUGUCAAGAAAAGUCUCUAUCGAGGUUAAAGGUACCCGUACCGCAAACCGACACAGGUGGGUGAGGAGAGUAUCCUAAGGCCCGCG